rnacentral:rRNA from 1 species
CCUACGGGAGGCAGCAGUGAGGAAUAUUGGUCAAUGGACGAAAGUCUGAACCAGCCAUGCCGCGUGCAGGAAGACGGCCCUAUGAGUUGUAAACUGCUUUUGUACGAGGGUAAACGCAGAUACGCGUAUCUGACUGAAAGUACCGGACGAAUAAGGAUCGGCUAACACCGUGCCAGCAGCCGCGGUAAUACGGAGGAUUCAAGCGUUAUCCGGAUUUAUUGGGUUUAAAGGGUGCGCAGGCGGUCGGUUAAGUUAGAGGUGAAUUCCCGAGGGUCAACUGCGGAAUUGCCUCUGAUACUGGUCGGCUAGAGAGUAGUUGCGGUAGGAGGAAUGUGUGGUGUAGCGGUGAAAUGCUUAGAGAUCAUACAGAACACCGAUUGCGAAGGCAGCUUACCA